rnacentral:rRNA from 1 species
GAUGAACGCUGGCGGCGUGCCUAACACAUGCAAGUCGAGCGAAGCACUUACUUUAGAUUUCUUCGGAAUGACGAAGUUUGUGACUGAGCGGCGGACGGGUGAGUAACGCGUGGGCAACCUGCCCUGUACAGGGGGAUAACAGUUAGAAAUGACUGCUAAUACCGCAUAAGCCCACAGCUUCGCAUGAAGCAGUGGGAAAAACUCCGGUGGUACAGGAUGGGCCCGCGUCUGAUUAGCUAGUUGGUAAGGUAACGGCUUACCAAGGCGACGAUCAGUAGCCGACCUGGGAGGGUGACCGGCCACAUUGGGACUGAGACACGGCCCAAACUCCUACGGGAGGCAGCAGUGGGGAAUAUUGCACAAUGGGGGAAACCCUGAUGCAGCGACGCCGCGUGAGCGAUGAAGUAGUUCGGUAUGUAAAGCUCUAUCAGCAGGGAAGAAAGUGACGGUACCUGACUAAGAAGCCCCGGCUAACUACGUG